GAUGAACGCCGGCGGCGUGCUUAACACAUGCAAGUCGAACGGUGAAAGAGAGCUUGCUCUCUGGAUCAGUGGCGAACGGGUGAGUAACACGUGAGCAAUCUGCCCCUGACUCUGGGAUAAGCGCUGGAAACGGCGUCUAAUACCGGAUACGAGCUGCGAAGGCAUCUUCAGCAGCUGGAAAGAAUUUCGGUCAGGGAUGAGCUCGCGGCCUAUCAGCUAGUUGGUGAGGUAACGGCUCACCAAGGCGUCGACGGGUAGCCGGCCUGAGAGGGGGACCGGCCACACUGGGACUGAGACACGGCCCAGACUCCUACGGGAGGCAGCAGUGGGGAAUAUUGCACAAUGGGCGAAAGCCUGAUGCAGCAACGCCGCGUGAGGGACGACGGCCUUCGGGUUGUAAACCUCUUUUAGCAGGGAAGAAGCGAAAGUGACGGUACCUGCAGAAAAAGCAUCGGCUAACUACGUGCCAGCAGCCGCGGUAAUAC
rnacentral:rRNA from 1 species